AAUAUACAUUAAAUAACCAUCUAGGUGUCUUUGUUUUUAAAGUAAAUCUGUGUUCAUAUAGGAAAGAAAAAUGUUUUGUGAAAUCAGGAGAAAGACAUGUGGAAUAAAGGAAGAAAAAAGUGAAAGCAUGAGUGAGAGUGAAAAUAAGAAUGAAAGGUAAUGUGCAGGUGAAAGUCAUUAGAAGCAGAAAGAAGAGAAACUGUGACCACUUUUUCUUGUGUCCCACCACUUGGAAAGGGAGGCCUUUCUUGAUUAUUGCCAAGUUCUCAAUGAUGCUCUGAACCGCUGAAUUUGCAAGAUAAGUGACCUUCAGAUAAAUGACAUGUUAUUGCUUUAUUUUCUCUUCACCAGGACACUUGAGACAUGAUUACCAUGAGCGAAAGACCUCUGAGCUUCCUCUCUGGGCCAUGUGACAGCAAGAAGGCAGCCCACUGCAUACCAGGAAGAGGUCUAUCACCAGGAACCAAAUCUACCAGCACCUUGACCACUUCUCAGCACUUCUCAGCCUCCAGAAAUGUGGAAAAAUAUAUUUCUGUUGUUUAAGCCAUCUGGUCUGUGGUAUUUUUUAAAAAU
rnacentral:lncRNA from 1 species